GGCGGGGGCUCCGCGGCGGAUCCCGGGGGCUCCUGCAGCGCCAGCGGGAACUGCAGCGAACCCGAGCCGCCCAGCAGGCUGUAGCACAGUCCACAGAGUUCACUGAAGUGUAACUUCCUAAACUGCUGAGAACAUGACAGCUGUGACUCAAAGCCUGCUCAGGAGGACUCUAGCUUGUCAUACCUAGAGAAACCUGCUCAUAUGUGCUUAUUGCCACACAGCCAAGACACAGAGCCAGCCUAUAUGUCCCGCAGCAGAUGAAGAGAUAAAGAAAUCUGAUGAAUGAAACCACGACAUUUUUCAGAAAUAUUGAUGGAGCAGCAGGUCAUCAUGGCUUUCCCUGGGAACUUGGUCCGUUUGUCUCAGCCACAGGCUUGAAGCCCUCCCAGUCACUGAUUCCUCACACAGUCCAUUCAACUCCUUCAGUUGCUCAUGGAGGCCCUCUGUGCCCUCUACACUUGAGCUAUUUUAAUUUGACAUAAUUUAUAUAUUCCGGCACUACAAUUAAAUAGUAUGUCUUUAAAUAAGCCAAGAGUCUAUUGUCUUUUGGGCCCAAGGAAUUUUCCAACCAUGAUUUGAUCAAAGCAAGCAAACAAAUAAAGCAGAAACACUUUCAUAAGGAAAUAAACAUGUUCAGAAAUGUAAUUCUGUCUGCCAGUAAAUACCACAAUUAGAAGAUAUCUUCCUUUUUUAUUAUUUUUUGUUGUUUUUGUAAUUACAAAAUAAAAUAUGAAUACAUAUUCUUAAGUUAAACAAAAAAUAAAUCCAAGAUUACAGAUGUAAUUGGAGGCUUCUCUAUUAACAAAUAUUGAGUUUACAAUUUCUCAGAGAUAUAAUGAAAGCUACUCUUCAAAUUAAAAUUACAUCAGGUCUGCUGCUGACACAUAAAGUGGCCACGUUUGCUUGGGGCUUUGUGCCUUUGCUCCUGUUUCUCAGAUUUUAAGGCAAAAGCCCUGCUCUUAACUCCAAAAGGCCAGGUCCAUCUGGCCACUGUCCCAAAUAAUGGGAGAAACAGAGAGGGGAGGGAACCUAUUCAGUUUGGUCACAUGGGGAAGAGAGACAGUGGAAGGGUCCAUGUCUGUCUUUGGGAUACAGACAUGAAUAUUAGGUUUAAACAGUGGGCAGGAGGUAUGCACAAGUAAGCAGUCCUGGUCAGGAUGCUGUCUCUCCUCCCUAUGUCCAGCAUCAUUUCCUCAGCUCUGGUCCUACAAGCCUGCCUGUUAGGAUGUUGGUCUGUUAAGUUCCUAUGUGCUGAAGGUACAUCUUUACCCUCAGCGCUGACAGUCACCUCUGAUUCUGGAAUCUGUCCUGGUAGGUUUUGUUUCUCCUACAACUGGGGGUGCCUCAAAAAAUGUUAAGGACAAGAAUCUAUCGAUCUCUGUGCCUGGAGCUGAAGUCCAGACAUGAAAUUAAAGCACAGGCACCCGACGUCACCCCACUUUUACCUCCCUCAUGGGCCUGUGUGAGGAGGCAAUGCUUUGUGUAGAUGCAACAUCCAAUGCCUGUUUCUUUCCGUCUGGGGUAGAUCCACAACACUUAUGAAGAUGGUUUAGACACAUCGUAUAGGAUGUAAAUAAAAACCUGUAGGAAUACUAGAAACAUCAUUUAAACAGGACGCCUGACACAGGAGGGAAAAGCAUCCACAGGGAGAUUUACAGAGAUGAAAGGGGAGAAUGCAGAGGCAGGCACUGCUCCCCCAGAACUCCUGGCAGGUGCAAGAGGUUUGAAGAAUGGAUCAUGCGUGAGAAGAUGGUAGCGGUGCUGUGGAAUAAGCCAUAAUCAUCACAAAACUGGGAGACAUGGUUUGACUAAGGGAGAAGGAGGGAAACACAGAGCAAGCGGCAACAGAUUUAAUAUGAAAGUCGGAUCCCUAUCACUGGGGACAACUGACAGUGCUAAGAUGGACAGAUGGAUGAUGGAUGGAUAGACAGAGCUGUACACUGCCUGGACUCCAGGUCUCCGGGAUCUAUCCCACCAGGGGUCCAGACACUUCUGAAACUCCACACACCCUCAAUGCAGACAGAAAACCAGCAAAGGGUGGCCACAAACUGCUAUGGAAUGACAUCUAACACUAGGACAGGUCUUUCAGCUGUAGAGCACCACCACCACCAAACAGGUCUAAAGAAGACAGAAUCCAUCCUUUGGAGAAAGUAAAUCUGCUUGAAACUAUAGGCCCAAGGAGAAGAAUAUGCCAGCUUCUCAGACCUCAGAGAAAGGGAUCCACAAUUUAAUUCUGUUGAGCAGAAAUGCAGGGGUGGCCAUGAGUUUAAAUCGAUCCCAACUACUUGGAACCUAAAAACAUAAGGUCUUCCAAGCAUCUUAUCAGAAUCUAAUAUGUUCCGGCGGGUAAACAUCUCUUCCCCAGAAGCUCUUACUUGCAGUUUGGUCCCCUCCCUCUUUUUUUCUACCAUAAAUACAGUUGGAUUGUGCAAUCCACAGCCAAAGCGAGCAGUGUCUUGUCUUGCAGAAAUCCUUUAUCAUCUGUUUUGUGUACGCGCCGAGCAGUGAUCAGGUGAUCCCAGAAGUUCACAGCUAAGAAGAAACAAGCAUAAAAAAAAGGCAUAGUACAGCAUGAAUUCUUUUGCGUUGGUGUUGAUCUGGCUGUCUCAAUCUCAGGCCUCCUUGCAUCUUCCUCACCCCUGGUGGACUCGAUGGGGUGGAUUCUAGCUGCUUAGUCUAUCUUAAGGCCCUUAGGGGAAUAGGUACCCAUCUCUUUGGCUGUGCCUCCACCUACCUCCUUGAGUGGCUGAACAAUCUCUCUGAACCCAGGAAAGAAAUGUUCACAGUGUACUCAGAUGAGACAGCUGCACAUUCCAUAAUCAAGCUUAGCCCCUUCACCUGUUUGGUUUUCCUCUCUGCUUAUGAGCUGCUGCUUAUCAACUCUGGUACCCAAGAGGGUCUCAUCUGACUCAGCGAACUGGGUACUCUAUAUCACUUAAAAAACAAAACAAAACAAAACAAAACAACAAAAACAUUCUCUUGAACUUUUUUUUAUGGCUUCCAAGUUUUUGAGCCCUGGAAAGUCUCUUUAGUACAGAUCUUUUUCUCAUAUCCUGCUUUAACAAACAGAAAGACAGCAUCCCCCCCCCCCAGCUCAUCCUCUCUUACACAAUGCACUUUGCCACUGUGCAGUCACCUCAGCCUAAAACACAUGUUUUAUUUCUUUCCUACACACAGCAGUGGACACCACCACAACCUCUAUGGCAGCCUGUGGACACUCUCAUUCCUAAUAUGUUGCUCUUACAAACUGAAAAUUUUAUUUUAAAUCAUAAGUUUAUCAGAACACCUCUGUACCCACAUACCAGAAUGCAUUCACCAAACUGGCAUGCCACUCUGUGAAGAAGACAGCAUCACCAGGAUUUCCCAUACACCACUCACCCAGACUUCCCACUGGAUAAAUGCUGCCUGUGCUCUGGACCCUACCUGCCCUUGUGGGGUUAGAGGUGAGUUGGUACAGAGUUAAUGACAUAGACUCUGGGAGUAUAGUGAGAAAUGCUACAGCAAGCUCAUCUGAGCACUGCUGCAAGCUCCUUUAACACCCUCCACGCGUGCCCCGUUGGUUCCAAGAAAGCAUCUCUUCUAAACAGCAGUUCCCAAUUGACUGGCAUUGUCUGCACCAGCAAUUCUUGGUUUCUCAGGCAGUCUUCAAUUAGGUCCUCCUGUGGGAGCUGCUUUUGCAGCUGUGUGGCCAGGCAUUUACAUAGAGAUAGCCAACACUGUUCCUCCUACAGAUAAGGAGUCAGCAUCUUUUCCAUGCCUCAAGACCCACUGCAGGGGCCAUGCAACCACUGACAUAGGAACAAGGCAAGUCUCUUAUAUCACAUCACCAUUUCAGGAUUUUACCCUCCUGGUGCCUAACCCUCAGUUCCCUUCCUUGAUACAUAUAGGCAGGACGAUGCAAUCAUUCCUCCCCAAUUCAUCUUGAAUUCUGCCAGGUCCCUGUUUGGGUGCCAACAGUUUUGUGACAGAUGUUUACUGGGGAGACACAGACACAUCUAUUCCCCCCAUCCAACAAAAAAGAAGCUCACAAGAGACCAAAGUAACAAUUGCAUCAGUGACCCACUUGGCGGACCAGUGGUUAUUUAUUUAUUUAUUUAUUUAUUUUGUGAUUACUGACAGCAUGGGUGAGAAGUUGCUUACAGGGUCAGCACACCAUUGUAACUGUGACUUCAAAGCCUUCACUCACGCACAGACCUUCCUGGUCCCCAGUGCUGGCGACAGUCUCCAUGUUCCCUGGGGUCUUCAUGUCUAUUUGCGUACAGGGAAAGACUCUGUCUUUUUAUCAGCCUAACUCCAAAUGAAGUAGGAUAUAAUAAGGCCCCCUUAGUGCAUAGCAUUCUCAGUUCUCCAUGAUAUAAGGCCCAGGUUCCUUAGAACAGGACAACAAGCAAGUCUUCUGUGACUAAGCUGUUGUGCCAACCCCCUACUCAUUUCUUGCCACUUAUUCCAAAGGCAUUCCAGAUUAUUAAUCUUUCUUCAAAGAUGCUGAGUAAUUGUGACCUUUCGAUUUUUCCUACUUCCGGUCCAUCUGCUUGAAAAGCUGCCCCAGCAGGCUGGGGAGCAGAACUGCAGAAGAAGCCUUACCUCUCUGGAGUAACCAAGAUGUCCCAAGCAACACUGAUGCCACAGCGUUGUGGCCCACAGAGCAGUGCACAAAGAAUCAUUAUAAGCUAAUCCUGAUGUGUCUUACCCGUGUGUGCCUGCGUUUUCCUCUACUGCUCCAUAGCAUGGACUUCACAUGCCCUAUGCAUAUCAUGCAUCUAAUCUUCAUAUCUGCACAAGCAAUUAUUGCAGACUUUCCAUAGGGGUUUUUGUCUUUUAAUGAUAAAAAUGGAUGGACACAAAAUUACUGAUUUGGAGAUGUUUAUUCAAAUAAUUACUGUGAAUAUAUAUUCUUAGAUUUCUUUCUUUUAUCACUAUAGCUACUACCUUUACAUUUUCCUCUAAAAUUUUUUCACAUAUGUUUUUUGGUUUACGGGGGUUGUUGUUGUUGUUGUUGCUGCUGCUGCUGUUGCUACUGCUGCUGCUGUUUUGGACAUGGUUUUGCUAUAUAAAUCAAGAGCAGCCUGAAAGUCAUGACCACCAUACCUAAUAUUAACCUUUUGUUACUCUAACUGUGCCAAACUACUGCAUUUUCACUAAACUUUUAAUAAAGUCCAUGAUGUAUGCACUUAAUUUA